AAUCAACGCUGGCGGCGUGCCUAACACAUGCAAGUCGCACGAGAAAGGGACUUCGGUCCUGAGUACAGUGGCGCACGGGUGAGUAACACGUGAAUCAUCUACCCUUCGAGUGGGGAAUAACUGAGAGAAUCUUAGCUAAUACCGCAUAAUACCUACGGGUCAAAGCAGCUAAUGCGCUUGAAGAGGAGUUCGCGGCAGAUUAGUUAGUUGGCAGGGGUAAUGGCCUACCAAGACGAUGAUCUGUAUCCGGCCUGAGA
rnacentral:rRNA from 1 species